rnacentral:tRNA from 1 species
GCUUUUAAAGGAAAACAGCUUUCCCUUGGACUUAGGCUCCAACAAUUCUCAGCGCAAAUCUGAGUAAAAGCC